GAGGACUACAAAGGUUCUUUCGGAUGUAGAUCUUUUCUGUGGAGGCCGCACAAUUCACAGAUUUCUCUCUGGUGGCAACUUCAACAGGCUUCCGCUCACACUGCACAGCUGGAAUAUAAAAGAGUAUCUGACAAGCUAUGCAGCGCUGUAGUCGGCAGUACUGGCAGCGGUUUCGGUGGAGUUUGUUAAUGGCGCAUUCUCCAGAGCCCCUGCAGGUAUACACCAGGUUCUUUCUUAUGCUACGUUUGAAGAAGCCCUUGCAGCCCUCGCAGCUGACUGCUCCGUAAUGACGCCCUAAAAGUGAAGGAAAUGUCGGGGUUUGUUUAAAAAAAAAAAAAAAAGGUUUGGUUUAAUUAAAGAAAAAUGUCACUA